CCUGGUUGAUCCAUGCCAGUAGUCAUAUGCUUGUCUCAAAGAUUAAGCCAUGCAUGUGUAAGUAUAAGUAUUGUACAGCGAAACUGCGAAUGGCUCAUUAAAACAGUUAUAAUUUACAUGAUAAUCGAAGUUACAUGGAUAACCGUGACAAAUUACAGCUAAUACAUGCUAUAAGACCUGGUCAAGGGUCGUAAUUAUUAGAUAUCAAACCAAUUCCUUCGGGAGUGUGACGAAUCAUAGUAAUCGAACGAAUCGCAGAAUUCUGCGAUAAAUCAUUCAAGUUUCUGCCCUAUCAGCUUUGGAUGGUAGUGUAUUGGACUACCAUGGCAGUCACGGGUAACGGAGAAUUAGGGUUCGAUUCCGGAGAGGGAGCCUGAGAAACGGCUACCACAUCUACGGAAGGCAGCAGGCGCGAAAAUUGCCCAAUCCUGACACAGGGAGGCAGUGACAAGAAAUAAUCACCCUGGAUAAUUAUCUAGGAGUAUAAUGAGGAUAAUUUACGAACCUUACCGAAAGCAAUUGGAGGGCAAGUCUGGUGCCAGCAGCCGCGGUAAUUCCAGCUCCAAUAGCGUAUAUUAAAGUUGUUGCAGUUAAAAAGCUCGUAGUUGAAAUUCUGAUUGUAAGACUUCUAGUUCUUUGAACGGGAAGAUCUGCAGUCAUCCGCUUGUGAAUAUAAUUCAUCCUUCACCGGUUGACUAUAUGAGCAAGCAUUUUACCUUGAG
rnacentral:rRNA from 1 species